CUGACGGAGCAACGCCGCGUGAGUGAUGAAGGUUUUCGGAUCGUAAAACUCUGUUGUUAGGGAAGAACAAGUACCGUUCGAAUAGGGCGGUACCUUGACGGUACCUAACCAGAAAGCCACGGCUAACUACGUGCCAGCAGCCGCGGUAAUACGUAGGUGGCAAGCGUUGUCCGGAAUUAUUGGGCGUAAAGCGCGCGCAGGCGGUUUCUUAAGUCUGAUGUGAAAGCCCCCGGCUCAACCGGGGAGGGUCAUUGGAAACUGGGGAACUUGAGUGCAGAAGAGGAGAGUGGAAUUCCACGUGUAGCGGUGAAAUGCGUAGAGAUGUGGAGGAACACCAGUGGCGAAGGCGACUCUCUGGUCUGUAACUGACGCUGAGGCGCGAAAGCGUGGGGAGCGAACAGGAUUAGAUACCCUGGUAGUCCACGCCGUAAACGAUGAGUGCUAAGUGUUAGAGGGUUUCCGCCCUUUAGUGCUGCAGCAAACGCAUUAAGCACUCCGCCUGGGGAGUACGGUCGCAAGACUGAAACUCAAAGGAAUUGACGGGGGCCCGCACAAGCGGUGGAGCAUGUGGUUUAAUUCGAAGCAACGCGAAGAACCUUACCAGGUCUUGACAUCCUCUGACAACCCUAGAGAUAGGGCUUCCCCUUCGGGGGCAGAGUGACAGGUGGUGCAUGGUUGUCGUCAGCUCGUGUCGUGAGAUGUUGGGUUAAGUCCCGCAACGAGCGCAACCCUUGAUCUUAGUUGCCAGCAUUCAGUUGGGCACUCUAAGGUGACUGCCGGUGACAAACCGGAGGAAGGUGGGGAUGACGUCAAAUCAUCAUGCCCCUUAUGACCUGGGCUACACACGUGCUACAAU
rnacentral:rRNA from 1 species